rnacentral:misc_RNA from 1 species
GCACAAGGUGUGUUGCCUCUGCCGUAACGAAGGCUGUCGUAUAAUUCUCAGCGUUGCACCCUUUUUUUCACAUCAGACUCCGCCCGCCUCCCUCUCCCUUUCCAAGAGAGCACGUCUUCGGGUCUUUUCUCCGCUCGCUCCUGUGCACGUGACAGAGAAACAGAGAACCCGUUGCAGGAGAGACGGGUGCUGCCGCUUCUUUGCUGCUUCUCUUUUACUAUUAUCUUUACGUUUGAUGUUGUCUUCGCUGUGUGUGCGUGUGCGUGCGUGGUUGCUUGCCUCGGCGCCGCCACUUGUGUUGCCUCCUGCUGCCGUCCCCCUUCGCCUUGUUUACCUUUCGCCCCCUUUUCCUCCUCGUAUUCGUUGCUUCCCUUCUCUCUCAUGGUGGGGUCAUCUCUUCGUCCUCUUCGAAGCGAUCGGUAGGGAGCGCACCGCCACCCUCCACUCCACAUAGCAGAGGAUUUCAGCAAAACUUGUCUAUCGUCGCGCUUCCUUUUCUAUCCAUGUCCGCUGCCCUCUCCAAGCCCACACAUGCUGCAGUUUGCAGCCCAUUCGCUUCCCUCCUCCCGCGCCGGCGCCGUGCACAAACGCCCCACUGCAGCAGCGUCUCGAGCAUUUUCCCCCUCAACGCUCCACCGUCACGGUAAGCAUGGGCUGCGGGCUUUCACUCUCCACCCCUUCGACUGCAAAUAAAAAGCAGCAGUGGGAUGUGGCUGUUCGGCCCAACACAGCUCACGGGUCAUCGCACCAUGCUCAGGCCUCUCGUCAGCUUGACCACUGCAAGGGCUUGCUUCGCGCGGCUACCGUAUACUCUUCGCCGAACACCAGCUGUCCUGCGUUUAUCGAGAGAAGCGGUUCAGCGUGGAGCCCUUCGUUCAGUGCGCAAGACUCGUUGUUCCACCAGGAUAGACUUUCUGAUGGUCCACAGUCGUCCACGCCCUUGUGUAGGGGGGAGAGCCCUGCUGGCAUGGAGCAAGUGGAAAGCAUGCAGUGCGGUGCUCUUGAAGAGCACGGCACCGUGGACGACUUUGACGCCAUAAGGCAGCAGCUGAGCAUGGAGAAUGUGAGCUGGCCUUACGACGUCAGCGUUGACGCGCCGCUGCACAAGCCUGUACACAGCACGAAAAAGGAAGGGGCCACUCUUUCGAGGCCUCCAAGGAUGACUCCAGGGCGGCCCCCCAAUGCGGUUAUGGGUGCAGUGUCAACUCGUCCACCCAGGUCCGUAGGACGCACGAAUAGUAUUGUCGGCCGAGUUGCCGCCAAAAAGGCGGCAAAGGUUUCUGUAUCUGUGAAGCAGCCCAUCCCUAGCGCGACGGUGCGGAGAGCUUCCUUGUCGACCAAUGCUGGAAAUUCACAGGUGCUUGCACCAUCUGUACAACGCAUGCCCGGUGGUAGAAGCCGUAGGGGAUCGCCAGCUGCACCCGGUAGAUCGCGACGGCCUGUCGUGGAUGUGUUCGCAGAGGAGGCCGCGUUGCCGAGGUGCACGGACGCAGGGCAGAGGUGGAGGAGCGGUACCAUGCCAAUACGGCACUCGGUGAGCACUUCCAGUACGGCAGCGCAUUCGGUUGAAUGUACCACGGGCAUGCCCCUGGCCGAUGAGUACGAUCUGAGUGUUAUGAUGCGUGCUGCAGAGGCACCUCUGACGCUGUCUCGAUCACUCUCAGCACAUUCAACGCCGUCGCCAAAGGGGAAAGAAGCCAUGUCAACGCCACAUUCAAGCUUUUUAGGUAUCGUAAGUGCCAAUAGCUCCCCCUUCACGCUGAGUCGAACCAGCGCGCCGCUUGGCAGCGCGCCGAGCCCGACCAGCCCACCAGAGCUGUCAACCACUGAAAGUUUCGAACGGAUUUCUCGCCAAAGCAAACAGUCAACCGACAGUCGGCGUGACGGCUUUGCUCGUACCCCGCCCAACGGCCCCCAAAGCCGAGAAAGGGCGUUGGUCGACAGCGAGGCCAGCGGUACUGAUUUCCAGUACCUCUGCAAAUCAGACGAAAAUGCACUGUACAGCUUCUACGCCAUCAGCCACAACACCAUGGGCCCCUUUCUCAAAAGCGAGGAGGGCACGGAAAGGUGCAGCGCGCACGAAGAGAACCACCGUCAACUCUACAACAACCCACAGGCGUCCUGUGCAAGCCACGAUGGUGGUAGUGAACAGGCCUACGUUAACCCAAGCAAGCGUGAGGAUACGGAGAAUGCUGGCUCCGAUGGUCAUGGUGGCGACGAAUACAAGGCUCCUGACAGCCUUGCUUGCAAGACAAGCGCAGAUUCUGAAAUUUUAGUCGGUCACGCCAUGCGUGUGCUUGGAGCUUCUACGGCAGCACGAAAAGAACGGCGGCGGACCGUGAAGAUCGUCGAUCAUGCCGCUUCUCCUUCCUUGGCCACGAAACCGCCGGCCAGCCCUAUCCUAAUCAAAUAGUCCAUGCCGGCUGACCAGCCCCACCCACCGUCAGGUCGGCCAUCACUGUUGCUGCGGCAGCGCCAACAGCAACCUUUCCAUUGCGUCUCGUUGACGCAGCGGGUGCAGCGUACAUCAGUCAGUGCCCCACUGUCUUUGACCUGUGUGUGCGCGCGCGUGCCCCGGCGGUAGAAAGUAACAGAUCGCGGGAGCACGUCUUUCCCCCUCCUGGCCGGCGCAGUAUGAUGGCACGGACGAACGACAUGCCUCGCGCGUUCAGCGUCCCUUGAGAAAGGGCAAAGGAAGCUGCGUGUUGCGCCUAUCCUUUCACAGUGGUUGUCUCCCCAUUGCUCGUGUGCUCUGAGUGCGUGUCACGCCCCUGUGGUUUACUGCAGAUGACAUCGUCUGUUCCCGUAUUGGUACGCCGGCUACUGUGCUGGUAUUGUUUUCUGUGCUGCUUCUCUUCACCUCGGGCGCUCAUCGCCGUCGGCUCCUUUCGCUGUCGCGCUCGCUCUCUCUCUAUGCUACUUCUGGACUGGGUGUUUGCUUGCGCGCCGACGAAAACUCGCACGCCUGCUCUCUUGCCCUGCGUCCUUCCUGCUUCAGUCAAAUGAUGACACAGAAUCACCGCGGCCACCAGCGUAGAUGUCGACAUCUGUGUGUAGGUACAUUUUAGCUUCCUCGUGUCCGCAUAGCGCAUGUCCCUUCCUACAACGGGAGCAAGCAGCCAAUGCCCCCCUCCUCGGGCUCUGCACGGAUACCAAACAACAACAAGAAAUAGUUGAAUGGCGUGACGCGCUCAUCUCUACCGCGUCUCCCUUUCUGUUUUUUGGUCGGAAUUUUGCUGCUCUGCUGUGCUCGUGUUUUUGUUUUCAUUUUCGUAUCGACGGUUGCUUGCGUGCUUGCUCGUUGCCUCCCCUCCACCUUUUUUUCGCUGCUGUUUUGGCGGCGAUUGCUGCUCUCCUUCACACACGCCAACUGCUCCGGAGUACGGGUGUGCUCGAGAGAUUUCCGUUUUGUGCUCCGCUUUCACCGAUCCUUCCGAAUCACCCAUGAUGCAUGAUGGUGCCGGAGAGACGGAGAGAGUGAGAGAGUGAGAGGGAGGAGAGAUGGCGAGGCGGCACCGCGUAUUUGGCACGGUGCACAAAACAGAAACAACGGCACGGUACUUUGUUCUGUGUGUGUGUGUGUGUGGUUUCCGUCACUCCCCUUGUAUCCUCCUCUCUCUUGUGGACUCUCUUCAUGGUCACUGUACUUUCCCGAGCUGCUUCUCUCACCCGGAGGUCUCACACUGCCUCUCUCUUUUUUUCUUUUUUCCAUUUCUGAUUCGGUCGCGAACGGGGCUGCAGCCGAUCUUUGCUGUGCUUGCGAGGGAGUCGGCCUUAUAUCCCUCGGUGCUCUUUUUUUUCUUGCUGCCGGUGCACUCGUAUUGUUGUUGUUGGUGCUGCCGUUGAUUGUGAGUAAACAUCGUUUUUUUUUGUUUGCUUGCACCUGUCUUGUUUUUCCGUCUACAUGUGUGCUUGCACUCGUGGUCGAUCGCUUCUCCAUUUCUUUACUGCCCAUCUCUCUUCUCGGGAACAUGAGAGUUAUCCGCUUCUUUCUUCCGUUGGGUUCUUCCUGAUCGUCUCCUCUCCGCCUCUUUCUCCUAACCCCGAUCCGGAUGCCCCUCUGUCAUCGCCCCAUCGAGAUCAACAACCACCACUGUAGACUGGAUCGAUAAUUAUGUAAAACACAUGUGUUUUGUUUUUUGAUGGAAGCCGCAUCACUGCGUAGAGGCACUUCUGCGCGCGUCUUGUCGACGCUCUGCAUCCACCCUCUAUGGUCGGACAAAAAAAAAACAAAUUCGAAUGCGUGUGUACUUGGUUCCGGGUUGACAGAGGGUGUGCUGUGUGUCGAUUAAGGUUCUUGAAGAUGUUCUUUGCUUGGUUUCCUUCUUUUUUUUUAUGUACGCUGUAGUGUCGUCUGUGACUCGUCUCCCCCCUCCCCCUCCGUCAGCGCUCCCGUCGCUUAUGCAAUCUCAUCUCGCUUGUUUUCGUGCCUGGCUGUGCCGUUUUCUCCGUUCCUACUCUCUCGCCUGCUUUCUGUGUUUUUUUUUUGGUUUAUUCUUUGUUGUUGUGGCUGCCUCGUGCGUGGAUUCUCCCCUACCGCGCCUGUCAACGUCUCCGAAAUCGCGUAGACUACAAACUGCCAUGAGCGGAGCCACGAGUCACACACCUCUUUGAUCGGCGCUCUGCUGUGUGGAUCUGCCUGUGCCAUCGUUGCGCCACCGCCAACUGCCUGCUCCCCUCCUCCUCCUUCUGGGCUCUUGCUGCUUUCCUCAUCUCUUUGCUUUUGGACUUCCUGUGAGGAUUUUGUUUUUCAUGUGUCUCUGAGUGUAUCUGUGUGUGCAUCGUCGUCUUUACAUCCUCUUCUCCAUAACUGGGAAGGUCCCCCUCAACGCGGGGAUGUUUGUUUGUUUUUUUUUCUCGCGUGUGUCUCGUUGUUUCCGUCUACUUACGGCUCACCGGCCGGCCACAACGCUCCAAUACGUGGAUAGAUCUCGCGCCAUGCUCUUUUCAAAAGCGGGUGCUCCAUCCUACCAGUCAACAACGAGCUCACAGCUGCACUGUCACAGACCACACAUGCGCGUCGCUGUGUUUUGGGUGCACUGUGUCUCCCUGCAGUCGACGAAGGAUUAAAUAGUGGCAAGAAAAAGAAGAACAAGAAGGACUUCUUCCCUCUUUUUUUGCGGGGGCCGCAUCUGUGGAAGCUGCGCAUCUGUACCGCGACGGCUCCGAUGCGCCAUUCGUGUGCCCUGUGUAUCCACCCGCCUACGCGGUGCGUCUUGCAUGUCUCCCGAAGCUUUGGCUGCACGCCGGCAGCGGAUCAGCAAGUUUGUCCGGCUCGGCGAUGUCCGCGCGCACAUGCACCGCUUUUCCAGGAGCUAACCUACAGCAGAGCGAACAACGGGAUCGGUCGGUGAGCUGCAUAUCGUUUUCCCUUGGCCUCAUCAUCUUUUCUCCUCCUUUCUGUGCUGCUUUUUUCAUGUUUUCCUCUUUCUGUUUUGCUGGGUUGAUUGCCUUUGAAUGGUGAUGGUUGGACCGAUCCGAUUUGGUCUGAGGUGUUACCUGCUGUGCUGCCGGUGUCUGUGCUUCAGUGGUUGGGGGUUUAUGCUGAGCGCUUUCUGCGCGCCUGCGAAGGGGAAAGGCUCAAAACUAAUAUACAUCAGGUAUCAGGUGCUGUGGUUGUUGCAGCUUUCUGGAGGAGAAAAAAAAACCGCAUCUGUUUCUUUUUCUUUUCCGCCAGAGCCACGUCCAUAAGGCCUCUCCUCUUUUUCCUCGCCACUCUCCCUCGUUGUUGUUUGUUUGUGCCUGUGCGUGUGUGUGUGUGUGUGUGUGUCUGCAUUUUUGUGGUUUUCCUCCUCCUCCUCCUCCCCUCCUUCGCCCGUUUGUCUGAGGACUCCCAUCUCUGCAUGCCCCACCUCCUACGCUAUCAUCGUCUCCUCCGCUCAUCCGCCAGCACACCAUCACGAGCUCGUUUCAGAUUUGCUUCGCACUUUUUUUUUGUCGAGGCGCCACCGGAAAAUACAAAAGACGAGCCAAGAGCGUACAUUAAAGAUGCGCCUUCUUCGUAGUUCGGACAGCACUCUCUCCGGUCUCUUCGCGAAAGCAGAUGCGCCGUCUUUUUGGGGAGGGGAGUUAGAAGGUACAUGGUGCGCUGCGGCUUUCCAUCGGAUCGUUCUUUUCCCACACGUUCUGUCAGCAUGGACAUUUCAGCGUCACUACUGUUCCUCUCUUAUCGUCUUCUCUGUGUGCGUGCGUCGGCUCUUUCUGUGCUCAAUGCAUUUGGUUAUUUCCCUUCGAUCUCUCCUGUGCUGAAUCCUUUCCUCACUCACAGGCCAGAGUGCGCGAAGAGGCCAGUUGCUCUAUAGCCUGCGCAUGUUUGUGUUUGCCGCGACUCAAGC